rnacentral:rRNA from 1 species
UACGAAGGGGGCUAGCGUUGCUCGGAAUUACUGGGCGUAAAGCGCACGUAGGCGGAUUGUUAAGUCGGGGGUGAAAUCCUGGAGCUCAACUCCAGAACUGCCUUCGAUACUGGCGAUCUAGAGUCCGGGAGAGGUGAGUGGAACUGCGAGUGUAGAGGUGAAAUUCGUAGAUAUUCGGAAGAACACCAGUGGCGAAGGCGGCUCACUGGCCCGGUACUGACGCUGAGGUGCGAAAGCGUGGGGAGCAAACAGG